CCCUUAGAUGUCCUGGGCCGCACGCGCGCUACACUGAUGCAUUCAACGAGUUUUUCCUUGGCCGAGAGGCCUGGGCAAUCUUUUGAACGUGCAUCGUGAUAGGGAUAGAUUAUUGCAAUUAUUAAUCUUGAACGAGGAAUUCCUAGUAAACGCAGAUCAUCAAUCUGCAUUGAUUACGUCCCUGCCCUUUGUACACACCGCCCGUCGCACCUACCGAUUGAAUGGUCCGGUGAAGCCUAGGGAUUGUGGCGAGUUCCCUUUAUUGGGAGUUUGUCGCGAGAACUUGUCUAAACCUUAUCAUUUAGAGGAAGGUGAAGUCGUAACA
rnacentral:rRNA from 1 species